UAUUUCUACCUUUCUGUCUCUUUUCCAGCAUGCAAAUAACGUUCGACAAGCGGCGGAGGAAUAUCUAGCGAGAAGGCAAGCACGUAAUAAAUCCAUGACGAAAUCGAUGACAUCCGGCUUGGCGGGCCCCAUACUGAGCAUGGGCAAUGUCCAUUUUUUGCCAGCGGCCAAAAGUGGAACAUUUUUCGCCAGAGAUAAUGUCUCAAACUUCAUAGCAUGGUGCCGAAAAAGCCUUCAAAUUUUCGAAUGCCUAUUGUUCGAAACUGAUGAUUUGAUCAUGCGAAAGAAUGAAAAACAUGUGAUUCUAUGUUUAUUAGAGGUAGCUCGAAGAGGAGCUAAGUUUGGUAUGCUUGCUCCUAUGUUGGUGCAAAUGGAACGGCAAAUCGAUAGAGAAAUUGCCGCUGAUAAUAAAGCGAACGGAAUAGUCUGCGGUACGCAAACUGAAGGAAAUUCCCAUACAAUAGCAACAGGAACGGAAGAUGACUUGUUUGAUUCGGACAGUGAAGACGAAGAUGAUCCAAACGGUCCAAUGCUAAUGUACGGACCCCAACCGCAGAUUGUUACCAACGAUCUGAAAAGUUUGGACGAAAUGGUUCGAGAUCUGGUGGAAAAGUGCACCUGCCCGUCUCAGUUCCCCAUGGUACGAGUAUCAGAGGGAAAAUAUCGUAUUGGAGAUACCAAAGUGUUAAUUUUUGUGCGGAUUCUACGCUCGCACGUCAUGGUUCGAGUCGGUGGUGGUUGGGACACGCUUUCACAUUAUUUGGAUAAGCAUGACCCAUGUCGAUGCAAGGCACAGCAUCGCUCAUCAGUGGCGGCAAGACUAAUUACCAAAACAAACCAUUUGAGCAAUGGCAUUGAGCUUCACAAAGCUCAGGUCGUUUAUGAGAGAUCACCAACGCCGUCAUGGAAGUCUAAUGCUCAUACCGCACAGACCGCGUCACCUAAUAUGGACAGCCUCGGUAGUACCUUGUCUCCACCAUCCCGUGCUCGCAGUCGAAGCCGUAGUCCAAGCGCUCAGCGUAAAAUUAACCAUAACAAUGAAUCGGCGGCAACCAUACACGAGAAGGGAUACCUCGCUUCUCCAAAUUUGACUCGCCGUUCGAUGUCGCCUAGUCCUCGUCGUUUAGAUAUGAAGAAAAAGCAAAACUCGCUGGAUUCGAGUUCAACGGUAGCACAAGCUAAUAAUAAUACUAAUAGCGGAAGUAACAGCGGCAAUCAGCUGCACCAAGCAACGGUACACUUCGAGUGUGAUCGGGACGGUUCUAUUAUAACUGAUAGUAAGACUGAGUCCUCUGGGGAGGACAAAACCAACAAGUACGAAAACAUCAGUGACAACGGUAGUGAAAUCAGCGAUGAGGGUUAUCGCAGUUUGGGAAUCAUUCAGUCCAGUGGUACCGCAUCUCAAGCACAAAAACGGGUAUCAUUGUACAGCCAAGCCUCGAAUGAAGAUGCUGAAAUUAGCGCGCAUCUCGAACAAAUAACCCCGGACUCGCAGGUAACACCAACUGACGAUAGUAGCUCUAAGGCAAACGAUGAAGAUCUUACUACUAUCUCUGAUGAAGUAACAGCCAAAUCCGACGACGCUGACAAGGUCGCGGAAUUGCAGGAUAAUGUAGAUUCCGGAGAAACUCCGGAGUCACAUUUUGCAAAAUCAGGUGUCUUCAUUACGGAUGAUGAGAUCACGAUCGACAUUGCUGGUAGUACAGGUCUGAGAAAGACUGGAUUUUCAGAAAAUUUAUAUGAUCCAAAUAACCCUGUUAUGUCUAAGACUCAACCGGCUUCCAAAAUUCCCAAGUCGCCUUUACCGUCGAGACGCAAAAGUGCCGAAGGUUCCACGACGGCUUCUAGUGACAAAGCAUCUUCUUUGAAUAGGAAAAUUCCAACCUAUCGUUCUGUUCGCAAAGUUAACCCCUCACCCGACCAAAAAGACAAUACUUGGAGUGGCAGGACCACCAAGCAAAGAACGCCUCUAGCAGCAGAUACGUUUGAUACCAAAGUAAAUUCCCCACAGGCAACGCUAUCCCGUAACUCUCCAGCAAGAACUUCACAGUAUGAUAAGAAUGGUAGAAAAAUCAAACCAGUCAGCAGUUCGGUCAACACGUCUCCAAUCAAAAACGGACAGGCUUCGGUUUUGGCGCAGCAGCUAAUAGAAGCAGCAGCAGGGGCCCAGAAUGACACUCAAAUUAUAGAAAAAGUGAAACAGUUGCUCUCUAAAUAUUCCUCCAGUCAACAACAAUCCGUGACACCGGGUGGCAGUGAGUUUGAUGAUUUCACCACUGCAUGGGUUAACAACAACGGAAUAGUCGAUCGCAACAUGAGCAAUUCCCCCAAGACACAGUCUAAGCGAAGCUCAACUGUAUCUACCACUUCGGAAGGGGCAAAUUGCAAAGAAAUUCCAUCAGUCAUGUCACCUCGACGAGAUAAGGGUAUGUCGAAGAUUCCAGCGCCCGUUCGGUCCAACACCGGGCUGUACUGACACCGACGCAAUCAGUCAUUGAAUAGUUUCGGUGCUAAGCAAUGAUUGCAUUGUUUGGAACCGCAAAUGUAGUUCUAAGGUUCCAAAACUCUCUAUGGGAAACACAACAAUGAUGUUAUACUAAUGUGCUGCUGUUUCUUUAUUGAGUUGCCGCCAUAUGCACUUAGAAGUUGCGUCGCGAUAUAUGUAUCAUUUAGCAGUGUAAUACUAUGGAAAGAGUCCCAAAUAAAAAAAUCCGCUGUUCCAUUUUAGUCGCAAAAAGUCGAAUCAGUCAGUGUUAUGCUUUUCAAUUUCACAACUGAGUUUAAGCAACAAACUUGUAAGCUCCAUUAAAACUUUUUAGAAAUCCUCGAAAAGCAUUCCCAUGAGCUAGACUCUAAAUCCAGUACUAUCAUUAAAGCGGUGCUUUUUUACUGUUUGUUUAGAGAAAUUUAUUCCGUUAUGAAUAUCAACAAUUACGUUUGCAAUAAGAUAAAAAAAAAAUGAAACAUAGUUGAUUUUAACGAAAAGAAGAAAGACAUCUGUACAGUAGUAGGAGACGAUAAUGUUUUAAUGAGUUUUCCUGAUAUUAUCAUAAGAAAAAACGACUAACUUUUUACACUUUACUCGCUAACAUUUGUCCUCUUUGUAGUUAGAAUAGGAUAACAAGCAAUUAAAUACAAAUCUAAUGGUUAGAUACGAACGUGCAACUAAACAAAGACACGGAACUUGGUUCGUCCGUAAUCAGUGAAAAUCAUCAAUAGUGCAAUCUAAACGCAUAACAAAACGCCAUAUAUAGUCCCAAAAUAUUUACAAUAAUGAAUACACAGCAUAGUACGUUUGAAUACUGACGAUCAAUAUAAUGGUAAGUUACGACGGAACAUUUGGAAAAGCUUGGAAAAUAGAAACAGCUGUUGAAUAUCGGUAGAAAAGAAUUACAUUCGUUCCCAUUUUCUGUAGAAUUAAUACAAUUAUGUACUUUUUCUACUGGAAGUGGAGGGCACAUAAGAACGAAUAUAAGUUUGUUUUAAUUGAGUUUCAAGUGUUGUUUCCACUCACCAAGCAUACCUCCGCUGUUCCUUCAUUCGACUUUGAGUCAAGCAUGAGUUGCAAAUAUAAGCCCACAUUUAAUCAAUGUAUUUUAACAAGAAAAUAUAGUUCAGACUGCCAAUUUCUU